rnacentral:rRNA from 1 species
CCUACGGGAGGCAGCAGUGGGGAAUAUUGCACAAUGGGGGAAACCCUGAUGCAGCGACGCCGCGUGAGUGAAGAAGUAUUUCGUUAUGUAAAGCUCUAUCAGCAGGGAAGAAAAUGACGGUACCUGCGUAAGACGCACCGCCUACAUACGUGCCACCAGCCGCGGUAAUACGUAGGGGGCAGGCGUUAUCCGGAUGUACUGGGUGUAAAGGGAGCGGAGACGGCAGUGAAAGUCUGAUGUGAAAGGCGGGGGCUCAACCCCAGGACUGCUUUGGAAACUGUACGGCUGGAGUGCAGGAGAGGUAAGGGGAAUUCCUAGUGUAGCGGUGAAAUGCGUAGAUAUUAGGAGGAACACCAGUGGCGAAGGCGGCUUACUGGACUGUAACUGACGUUGAGGCUCGAAAGCGUGGGGAGCAAACAGGAUUAGAUACCCGAGUAGUC